ensembl:lncRNA
GGGUUUGGGGAUGCGACAUUCCACGUGUGGCUUCAUUUUGUGGAAUGGAAACCAGAUCCUGAGUUCACUUCCUGGCCCUGGUGGUAGUCAGAUAAAGUUUCUACCAACACCUAAAACAAUGUUUCUGAGGACUUCUCUGGUGGUCCAGUGGUUAAGACCUCACCCUCCACUACAGCAGAGACAUUUUAAAAGGAAAUACUACAAGUGUUUAAAUCUCUGCUGUCUAACACAGUACUCAAGCCUCACACGGCUGUUGAACAUGGCAAGACUGAGUAGAGAUGUGCCCAGGAGUAAAUCAACACAGCAGAUUGCCAAGACUUAAGAUAGAAAAAAGGUAAAAUAUCACAUUAAUAAUUUUUAUAUUAACUGUGUAUUGCAACAAUAAUAUUUUGAAUAUAUUGAGUUAAAUGAAAUAUAUUAUUGAAAUUAAUUUCACCUGUUGCAUUUACCUUUUAAAAAAUAUGGCCGCUAGAAAUUAUUAAAUUAUGUGUGUGGCUUGCAUUUGUGGCUUAUAUUUCUCUUGAAGAGUGCUGGUUCAGAUAAUCAUGGUUUUGUUUUGUUGUUUAGUCGCUAAGAUGUAUACUUGACUCUUCUGUAACCUCAUGAACUGUAGCCUGCCAGGCUCCUCUGUCCAUGGGAUUUCCCAGGAAAGAAUAAUGGAGUGGGUUGUUAUUUCCCUCUCCAGAGGAUCUUCCUGAUCCAGGGAUUGAACCCUCAUCUCCUGUUUGGCAGGCGGAUUCUUUACCCCUGAGCCACUUGGGAAGCUCAGUCAUUGUCGCUGGUUGCUGUUGUUCAGUCGCCCAGUCGUGUAGGACUCUUUGCGACCUCAGGGACAGCAGCAUGCAGGCCUCCCUGUCCCUCACCUUCUCCCGGAGUUUGCCCAAGUUCAUGCUCAUUGCGUUGGUGAUGCCGUCCAGCCAUCUCAUUCUCUGACUCCCUCUUCUCCUUCUGCCCUCAAUCUUUCCCAGCAGCAGCAUCAUUGUCAUACCAGUGGCAAAAGAAGAGAAAAAAGAGAUUGAAG